rnacentral:rRNA from 1 species
CAGCCGCCGCGGUAAUACAGAGGGUGCAAGCGUUAAUCGGAAUUACUGGGCGUAAAGCGCGCGUAGGUGGUUUGUUAAGUUGGAUGUGAAAUCCCCGGGCUCAACCUGGGAACUGCAUCCAAAACUGGCAGGCUAGAGUAGGGCAGAGGGUGGUGGAAUUUCCUGUGUAGCGGUGAAAUGCGUAGAUGUAGGAAGGAACACCAGUGGCGAAGGCGACCACCUGGGCUCAUACUGACACUGAGGUGCGAAAGCGUGGGGAGCAAACAGGAUUAGAUACCCGAGUAGUCCCUGUCUCUUAUAC